CCUACGGGUGACUGCAGUGAGGAAUAUUGGUCAAUGGGCGCAAGCCUGAACCAGCCAAGUCGCGUGAGGGAAGACGGCCCUCCGGGUUGUAAACCUCGUUAGCCGGGGAGCAAGCCUGAGCACGUGUGCCCAGGCGGCGAGUACCCGGCGAAACAGCAUCGGCUAAAUCCGUGCCAGCAGCCGCGGUAAUACGGAGGAUGCGAGCGUUAUCCGGAUUUAUUGGUUUUAAGGGGUGGGCAGGCGGGCUGUUAAGCCGGCGGUAAAAAUUCAGGGCUCAACCUUGUCGAGCCGUCGGAACUGGCAGUCUUGAGUGGGCGAGAAGUAUGCGGAAUGCGUGGUGUAGCGGUGAAAUGCAUAGAUAUCACGCAGAACGCCGAUUGCGAAGGCAGCAUACCGGCGCCCAACUGACGCUGAGGCACGAAAGCGUGGGGAUCGAACAGGAUUAGAUACCCCAGUAGUC
rnacentral:rRNA from 1 species